rnacentral:lncRNA from 1 species
AUGAUCACCAUGAGGCUGUUGGGAAGCAUGGAGCUCUGGCUGGCCAACACCUUUCUGCCCCUGCUGCUCCUCAUCUGGCUGCCAGUUGGAACAGCCAGUCAGAUGGUAAAGCCAGUCGCCACUGUGCAGCUUGAGAUUACUUUGGAGAAUCUCACAGUGCAGAAGAAGUGGUACAAUCUUGAAUGUCUGGAGAGGGAGAAUCAAACCAACCUUGUGUUUCUGGGAGAAAACUUUAUGAAUUUCACCAGCUCAAACCUGUGUACAGACCACACAGGAAUCUGUGUGUCUGGGGUCUUCAUCAUACGAACAAACUCAGCAGAUGCUAGAAAUCAAACCAACACUGUGUUUCUGGAUAAAAACUGUAUGAAUUUCACCAGCUCAAGCCUGUGUACGGCCUGCACAGCAAUCUGUGAGUGUAGGCUUUUCAUCACAAGACCAAACUCGGCAGACACUGGAAACAGUACGCAAGCAGCAGAUCCCAGCUGUGGCUCUCCAGGAUCUCAGACUGAUGUCACAAAGAAGAUCUGGACAGGACUCAACCUCCUCCUGUGCAUCCUCCUUGGCUUAGCGGUCGGGACGCUCCUGUACAUGCCGGUAAUUGGCUUCCUGCUGUGGCAGCGCAGAAGGAACAGAACAGGAGAGCUCAUGAGCGGGGAAGUGGCAGAGGGGAAUCAGGUCAAUACGGCAGCCCCGGUGACAGGGACUGAGGAUCUGACUUACGCCAACCUGAAUUUUGAAAAGAAAGGGACAGCAUCUGCCUCCUCCAACGUCAUUUACACUGAGAUCAAGCCAUUGCAACAGAAGCAGAGUGAUGGGGAUGGCAGUGCUGCCAGCACGGAGGUGGAUGUCUCCCCCAAGGAAGAGGGAAAAUGAGGGAGGUGAGCAGCUUGUUGUCCACCUGUUGGGCUUGUCCUCAAAAACUAGAUGUUAGCUCUUAUAGCAGUGCAGUCCUGGGGACCAAAGACACCUAUUACCCUGAGUGGCUGCAGAACCCUGCUUUAUGUUCCCCUGGAACACAAACCCUGCUUUAUGUUUCCCUGGAAGAAGCCAUGUCUCACAGUGAGGACAGGAAUCUUAAGCCCAUUUUCCCCUUGCCUUCUGCAGCUCCAAGCACUGCCAUGCCUCAGCAACUAUUUUCAGUGUCUCCAGUUGCUGACAGGCUCCUCUAGCUGCUUGUUCUGUGUUCAGGAAUGACACUGUACACUGUGUGGCCAACAUGGUGUUCAGGAAGAGCUUGGUCCUGGACGUGCUGGGUGGCACAUGCUGGCCAUGAGAAAGCUGGGACAUUCCUGGAGCAAUUUUCUGGAUUUUCUCUAGAGCAGGCACCUGCUGUGAUGUGGGUUGACCUUUGUUUCAUUCACUCACUUGAAACACAAGGGGCAAGGAUGGAAAAGCAUUGCUUGCUUCACACAGGUUCUGCUGCAGUGAUACACAUGGAUCUGCUUUGUACUGGGAGUGGCUAGGUGGUUUUGCUGGUUUGGUGGUGAAUAGUCUUCUCAUAGACAGAGCACUCUCUUUUGUGCCCUCUUUUAUUGAUAAUGUUGUGUUUAUUGUGAGUUUUUCAGUAAAACUGUGAUUCCCACAUGUGGUCUUGCCUGGUGUUUCCUCUGCUGUUGGAAGAGGCUGGGGGAAGAGGAGCAGCUUGAGAGGAGUUAAUUUUCCCACUGGGUUUGAAAGCAGCACAUAGCUCUAAUGAUUUAGUGUUACAGCCACAAGAGAUGUUGAAAUUCAGAGAUUACCCCAAAAAGAUCAUCCAGAUCUUCUGGGUUAUUCUCAGGGCAUAUGAUCCAACUUGGGCAGAUGUCCAACCAUUAAACAACCCAUCUCAUCAGCUUCUCUGCCAGGCAUGACAUCAGCAGCACCUGCAUGACCA